UUGAGCUGCUCUGUUGAAGCAGAGGAGAGUUUACUGACUUUGGUGAGGAUGGUCCUUUUAGAGGCCCCAAUAUCCUGGAGAUGCCCUGUUUGAGAAUGUGCCUUUUUGUUCCCUCACCCUCCAUGAGCAGGGUGUAAGUAAUGACGUUUUAUAGACCCAAACCCAGAGCAUCGCAGCAGAGCCUGGGGAAGCCUGGAGGCCCAUUGCUAAUGCAACUUCCUCUGCUGGUGUGGUGUCUCCAGCCCCAAGCACCGAUGUGAGACAUUAAUUUCUCAAGCCAAUGACAGCUGUGUCUUUGAACAGCGAUGGAGAAAGAACAGUUGAUCAGUGAGUGUAAGGACUCUGCAGAGGUCUGCAUCUGGGCACAGGCUGUGGUCAGCAGCACAGCACUCCAGCGUUUAUCACUGGACUGAACAUACGUGCCAGGAGCCGGUGGGGCUGGGGACACUGGAGGGCUUGUGCUGUGCUGGUGGGCUCGCUGCCACCCCUCUGUGGGACAGGGACAGCCGUGUGCUGGCCUGCACAAAGGCAGCCUCUCAGCGAGGCAAGAGCCAGUUUUCACUUUUGUUCUUUCCCAGCUGCCACUCUUGCAGUGGGAGGUCAGUGGCUGCAACACAGGAACUGGUUCCAGUCCCGUGAAGCUUGGCGCAUGCUGGUGUCGGUGGGGAGCAGGGCUGUGCCCACAGCUCUGUCCCCUUCCAGCAGGCUCUCUGUCACUCUUUAUUCUCAUUUGGCUUUGCCAGUACCGGCUGCAAGCGUUCACUGAGAGCAGGAGCACUCUUCCAGCCAGCGAGCCCCACGAGGGCAGGUUUGUGGACUCUCUGGAUGUGGCGGGGCACGGGGACAUGGCCAUGGACUCCCCUCCGCUGUUUGCUGACUGCGAGAUGCAUCUGCCAGUGCCUCACACCUACAGUGUCCAGGCGAGCUCCCGUGGCUGCUCUGCUGCAGCGUCUGUCGUGGCACAGGGUGCUCCGCGGGGCUGCAGCGGGCAAUGCCACCAGCGUGGCAUCCCUGA